CCUACGGGUGGCUGCAGUGGGGAAUAUUGCACAAUGGGCGCAAGCCUGAUGCAGCCAUGCCGCGUGUGUGAAGAAGGCCUUCGGGUUGUAAAGCACUUUCAGCGGGGAAGAAGGCGGUGAGGUUAAUAACCUCAUCGAUUGACGUUACCCGCAGAAGAAGCACCGGCUAACUCCGUGCCAGCAGCCGCGGUAAUACGGAGGGUGCAAGCGUUAAUCGGAAUUACUGGGCGUAAAGCGCACGCAGGCGGUCUGUCAAGUCGGAUGUGAAAUCCCCGGGCUCAACCUGGGAACUGCAUUCGAAACUGGCAGGCUAGAGUCUUGUAGAGGGGGGUAGAAUUCCAGGUGUAGCGGUGAAAUGCGUAGAGAUCUGGAGGAAUACCGGUGGCGAAGGCGGCCCCCUGGACAAAGACUGACGCUCAGGUGCGAAAGCGUGGGGAGCAAACAGGAUUAGAUACCCGAGUAGUC
rnacentral:rRNA from 1 species